GAUGAACGCUGGCGGUGUGCCUAAUACAUGCAAGUCGAACGAGAAGGUUCUAUUCUUCGGAAAAGAACUGGAAAGUGGCGAACGGGUGAGUAACGCGUUGGUGACCUGCCCCAAAGAGAGGGACAACAGAACGAAAGAUCUGCUAAUACCUCAUGUGGUCUAAGUAGUUAGAGAACUUAGAUUAAAGGAUUUAUCCGCUUUGGGAGGGGCCUGCGUCCCAUCAGCUAGUUGGUAAGGUAACGGCUUACCAAGGCGAUGACGGGUAGGGGACCUGAGAGGGUGGUCCCCCACAAUGGAACUGAAACACGGUCCAUACACCUACGGGUGGCAGCAGUAGGGAAUAUUGCACAAUGGGCGAAAGCCUGAUGCAGCAACACCGCGUGUGUGAUGAAGGCCUUCGGGUCGUAAAGCACUUUUACGA
rnacentral:rRNA from 1 species